ACGCUCGACACCUAUGGAGGCGCAGUGGGGAAUAUUGCACAAUGGGGGAAACCCUGAUGCAGCGACGCCGCGUGAGUGAAGAAGUAUUUCGGUAUGUAAAGCUCUAUCAGCAGGGAAGAAGAUGACGGUACCUGAGUAAGAAGCCCCGGCUAACUACGUGCCAACAGCCGCGGUAAUCUGAGCGGGCUGGCAAGGC
rnacentral:rRNA from 1 species